GCUGCGCUGACACUGCGUUGAUCGUGCGAGGGUUUGCCCAACCGCGUCGCGCGCGCCGCGCGUGGGACAUGCGUCCUGCAGCUGGUGUGGAUGUUCGCUCGUGCUGCAUAGCCUAUGGUAGGUGGGGCUUGUUUUCUGCUGGUCCUACACGUAUGUCCCUUGUUUAGGUUGGAGUGAGACUGUGAAGGUUGUGUUUCUUCUGACACGGAGAGAGGGGUCGUGCAAGUCUCAUCCCAUCUCCCUCCUCCUUCGUCUCCCCAGCCGUGAAAAAAUCCCCUCCGCCGUCUCCUCCUCUCUCUUUCGCCUCCCUCCUCCUUCCCCGGCUCUCCGCCCCACAUCGGGAGUAGCUAGGAUGCUAGGAUGAAGAAAGUAGGAGACGGUAUCGGGUCAAAUGAUCCAGCGGUGGCAGCAAGAGGCAGUCCAUGAUGAAUCUAUGGUAUUGGAAGUUUUGGGUUCCUCGGAAUUAUUGGUGCUUAUCUACAAAGUUGAUUAUGCUUAUCAUUCUAGAUUUUCUGAUUCUCAGUCGAACAAUACCCUUAUAACUACACGGUGGAUGCUAUUCAUUAUGUAAGGUAUUGGAAGUUUUGGGUUCCUUGGAAUUAUUGGUGCUUAUCUACAAAGUUGAUUAUGCUUAUCAUUCUCGAUUUUCUGAUUCUCAGUCGAACAAUACCCUUGAUAACUACACGGUGGAUGCUAUUCAUUAUGUAAGGUGAGCUUCUAUGACUUGGUUUAACCUUUCUAGAUUAUGUAACUGAAUAAAAGAACUUUCUGAUAUGUGUAUUUGUAGAAUUUGCUGAUGUUUGAUGCGAAAUAUUGGUGACCAAAAGUUUGUUAUGGUCAGGUCGAUCUGAAUAUUGUGUUCAUCUGACUACACCUCCUGCUAUGCAUCCUUUUAUGUACCAACAAUGUGACACUACACUACAAUAGAUUUUCACAGGCCAUGGAAAAAUAAUAAAGAAUUUGACAAUCGGUAGCCUCCAGUCUAUAAUUAUAAUUCUGCGCGCACUUUGGAGCUAUUGGAUGCCUGAAUGUGUCACGUUCCUCCAUUGUGCCAUGUUAAGAAUUGUAGCUUGAGAGGAGGGAAAUAGUUAAUCAGGUUGUAUAGAGUUGCUAUCAUACCAUUUCUUUGCGAAUGCAUGGUUUCACUAUCAUUUUUCUUAAAGUAUAUUAGCCUCUUGUUCUUGGAAGAAUGGAUUUUCAUUCUAUACUUGAGGUCUAACCAGGCCUAUAGUUUUUUUUGGUUUUGUUUCUUGACCUGCUGUUUCCUUUGCUGAUCCUUCUUGCUCAUAUAAACAGGCCCACACUUCGAAUGAUUAGAAA